GGGUCAGUAGGUUGGUCGUGCCACCGGUACGUACUGGUCUCACUGACUCCUCCUUCCUGAAGAACCGUAGUGCCAUUAAUGUGGUGUUGCGGGGAAACAGGACUGUUACUUUGAAAAAAUGAGAGUGUUUAAAGCAAGCUAACGCUUGAAUACAUUAGCAUGGAAUAAUGAAAUAGGACGAUCGAUCCUAUUUUGUUGGUUUCUAGGAUUGACGUA
rnacentral:rRNA from 1 species